UUGAAUUUCAGUGUGAACAAUUUGAUUGUUCAAAAUGUACACUUACGAUGGGUUAUUUAUUCUCUUGCACAUGGGAUGAUUGAAUUCACUGAAUUCUGUUGCAAUUACCAUGUAGGUGAAGGACGCAAAACUGACUGACUUACCUUAUCCUGAGCUUUUGUAUUCAAGAGCACACUGAUAGUUGAGGAAGAGAGAUGUCUUCCUUACAACUUGUGUUUGAUCAGGGAUCAGAAAAAGGGGCAAAGAGUAAGAUGGAAUACAGUUUGUCCCUCAAAACCAGAAGGAGGACUAGGGUUGAAAGACAUGGCCUUAUGGAUCAAAGACUGCCUCACAAGACUCCUAGUAACAAGAGUUACAGCUGGGCUUGAACAUGUAUACUUAAGCUGAGAACUAGUCACUCAGAUCAUGCAGAGAUACAACAUAAAUUGGAGAAGUGGUUGAAAAGAAGCAGAGGUUGGCCACAAGUGGAGCAAACCUUGUGAAAGCAUACACUGUAGAUUUGGGGGCUGCAAGUUCACUGAGAACUUUACCUGAUGCGAGGAUCUUGCAAAACAGAAGAAAAUACAUUUCAUCUCUGAUGAGUUGGCCUUGGACUGUGAAGGAAAGGACAAAUACAAGUGCAAGUCCAAUGUUUUCUGGAAAUGGUAAAGGGUUUCCAGUGUCAUUUUCACUCAAAACCAUCCACUAUUCCUCAACUAUGCAUCUAUUUUUCUCAUUUUCUCUGUAAUUUUCUGUUGUUAUUUCGUAAAACACCCCCAAAAUGUUCAAGAUAUAUGUUUUUAAACGGAAGAAUGCUGCUUCAUGAACUAGUAAUAACAGCUUCCAAAUGGAUCUUGCUUAACUUUGCUGUAUUGAUGCAGGAUGAUGCUUAUUUUCACAUUAUAGAUUUAGUAUGUGUGUGCGCACGGCUUGGAGAACUCACCUCAAACUUGAUUCUAUGAGCAACGUGUUGAGGAACUAUUGUUCUGCAAGUGAGAACAUGGCAAUGGAAGCACAGCAUUUGUGCAAACUGAAACAAACUCACAGUUCCAUGCUGUAGUUGGGCAAGUCCAAGACUUUUGACUUGUUCCAUCAUUAUAUGGUUUAUGGUUAUAUUUGCAAUGUAUCCCCCUCUGCUCGCCAGUUCCUACACAAAGUUUGAUGAGGAUUAAGGUACACAAUGAGACUGACAUAAUGAGCUUUAGGUUGCUAUAUAGAUUAGAAGUAAUACGAAUUGAUGUUCUUAGUAAAUAUUCCAGGAAGUAUCUUCCAGAACAUUUUCCAAUGUAGCUAUGACAUUAACAACUGCUGAAUUUAUAUUUGAAGCUAUCAGAUUAUGAUUGAUUAACAGCUGCCAAAUUUUCUUA